UUCACUACCAUUAUCAAGUUUGAAUCCUUCUUUCAUUCUUGAAGUUGUCAACUACUAGAUUUCUUUAAGAAAACUUUCUUUUAGCCAUUUCAAGAACACCAACUUUCUUUCAUUUUUUCAUUCUUGAAGUUAGAAUCCUUCUUUCAUUCUUGAAUGCUUCUCACAUUCUCAUAUUCACUCAAGAGUUUAUAGGCAAUCGCUCAAUCACAUAAACUACCAUUUAACAAUAAUCUUGUAAUAAUUUUC
rnacentral:lncRNA from 1 species